GUGGGGAAUAUUGGACAAUGGGCGAAAGCCUGAUCCAGCCAUGCCGCGUGUGUGAAGAAGGUCUUCGGAUUGUAAAGCACUUUAAGUUGGGAGGAAGGGCAGUAAGUUAAUACCUUGCUGUUUUGACGUUACCGACAGAAUAAGCACCGGCUAACUUCGUGCCAGCAGCCGCGGUAAUACGAAGGGUGCAAGCGUUAAUCGGAAUUACUGGGCGUAAAGCGCGCGUAGGUGGUUUUGUAAGUUGGAGGUGAAAUCCCCGGGCUCAACCUGGGAACUGCAUUUGUGACUGCAUGGCUAGAGUGCGUCAGAGGGGGGUGGAAUUUCCUGUGUAGCGGUGAAAUGCGUAGAUAUAGGAAGGAACACCAGUGGCGAAGGCGACUACCUGGACUGAUACUGACACUGAGGUGCGAAAGCGUGGGGAGCAAACAGGAUUAGAUACCCCGGUAGUCC
rnacentral:rRNA from 1 species